UUCGCAAUGCCCGAAAGGGUGACGAAGCGACGCCGCGUGGGUGAGGAAGGCCUUCGGGUUGUAAAGCCCUGUCAGGAGUUAAGAAAUGUAAGUGUGCUAAUAUCGCAUUUACUUGACGAAGGCUCCAAAGGAAGUCACGGCUAACUCUGUGCCAGCAGCCGCGGUAAUACAGAGGUGGCGAGCGUUGUUCGGUAUUAUUGGGCGUAAAGAGCACGUAGGUGGAUUUGUAAGUCAGACGUGAAAGCCUUCUGUUCAACGGAAGAAUUGCAUCUGAAACUACAAACCUUGAGUGUAGGAGGGGAGAAUGGAACUUCUGGUGGAGCGGUGAAAUGCGUAGAUAUCAGAAGGAACGCCGGCGGCGAAAGCGAUUCUCUGGCCUAUUACUGACACUGAGUGUGCGAAAGUUAGGGGAGCAAACGGGAUUAGAUACCCCGGUAGUCCUAACUGUAAACGAUGGGCACUAAGUAGAGGGGUUUU
rnacentral:rRNA from 1 species